UGUUGUUUUUUUUUUUUUUUUUUUUUUUUUUCCUGCUUCAAUUCCC
rnacentral:ribozyme from 18 species